rnacentral:rRNA from 1 species
UACGGAGGGGGCUAGCGUUAUUCGGAAUUAUUGGGCGUAAAGGGCUCGUAGGUGGCCAAUUAAGUCAGACGUGAAAUCCCCAGGCUUAACCUGGGAACUGCGUCUGAUACUGGUUGGCUUGAAUUCGGGAGAGGGAUGCAGAAUUCCAGGUGUAGCGGUGAAAUUCGUAGAUAUCGGGAGGAACACCUGUGGCGAAGGCGGCCAUCUGGACGGCAAUUGACGCUGAGACGCGAAAGCGUGGGUAGCAAACAGG